GCGCGGCUGACUGCGGCGGCGGCGCGGCGGCGGUGACUGGGCAUCGCGCGGUGCGGGUGCCUCCGCCGCCGCCCCCGGAGCGGGAGGCGGGGAUGUGAGAGCCGAGGCGCGGAGGGAGGGACGGGCGCACCGAGGAAGGGCGGGGGCCUCCCAGGCUAGGGUUUCGCGGCCGCUUCGGGGGAUAGAGUUGUCCCCUGUCUCGAGUUCCGUACCAUCCCCCUCCUCGGGCCGCCGCAGCCCGGGCCGCCCCGUUAAUGAUUGAUGCGGGGACCAAAGGCUGGACUUUUAUUUGGAACUGAGUCCGACAGCUCAGGACUGGCUGUUCAAACUCCACAACUUAAUGAAAAAUCUCAGAUGACUCCGAAAACCUCUAACGAUCUGAGGAAUGUAUUAAGGGAUUCCAAAGUCAAAGGCUGAUCGUGGAGGGCAUUGAUGAGGGGAGACUUCAGGGUGCUGCCUCCUGAGAAGCUGUUGUGUAGCCAGCCAUGACCGUGUCAAGUAAAGAGACUUACUGUCUUACACAGCCUCCCCUUCUAUCUUAAGAUUUUUUCAUUGUCGUUAGAAAACUUUGUAAAUAAUUAAAUGAACAUAACUGAUAAAACACCCUGUUGCAUCUUGGCCCAAAGCUCAGCCGUAAGUGUUAUUGAGUUGAACCAAUAAGAUCUGGUUAGAAAGUCCCCAAAAAUAAUGAUACCAAAUUAGGCAUAUGUACAGUACAUGUGGAAUGUGAUGGCUGGACAUUGAUUAGGCACAUUUAUUAAAAGAACAUCUUCCUCCAAACAAAUAACAGCUGUGAAUCCCCAGGGGGUUGCCAUACCCUAGAUCACUGCAAAGAGGCAUAUAGAAAAUUCUGUGAUUUCCUAGAUGGUCUUUGCACUUAGCACAAUGAUAUUGAUUCUAGUAAUUGAUUAAUACACAAAAGAAAGCAUUCUGCUAUAAUGUUCUGCCUACUUAACACCAAGGAGAAGGCAUCUCAGUCACUGGGCUCUGGCUCUUAAACUCACUUGCUGCUCUUUCCCUUUAGUCUUUUACUGUAAUGAUUUUCCUUUUCAUUGCGAUUCAGUAUCUGUCUGUUGAAAACAUUUAUGAACUUGAUUAUCUAGGUGCCAAUCUCUAAACUAAUUGAAGGGUGUCAUAUCCUAUAUAUAUAUAGAUUUUUAAAGAGUAUGUUUCAGUAAUCUCUCAUCAUAUGCCCCUUUCAUAUGAAAACCACUAGACUUUGGGGUUACCGAUGAGUCUCCUCAGUGCACUUGUCAUUUCUACCCAGUUAACAAGGAGCAUUUUUUUCUAGGAAGGUAUUUGUUCUUGUGGGCACCCACUGGCGUGGCAUGAGUCCUUUGUAUCUUGUGUUCUGCGAAUUCUGUGGUCUAAAUGCAUUAGUAUUGUUUCAUUCUUUGUCCCUGCCUUGCUCCUCCAACCUCCCUCCCUCUCCCCACCAAUCUCAACUCU
rnacentral:lncRNA from 1 species